GUAUCAAAUUGUGACUAAACCAAAAGAAGCAAAUCUGGAAACUGAAGUACCAAUACGUGAAAAGAGUUCUUUUGGUAUUGGGAGUGCCAGUUGUCUUUGUUCAUGAAAUACUUCUUCGUAAUAGACAGCAUGCAGCCGUCUUCAAGAGGUGAGAAUUUUACUUACCGGCUUAAACAGAAGUGUUAUCUCAAGAUAACAUAAUAUCUGGAGGGAGAGGCAUAAAAGCUCACUCUCUCUGCUGGAGCACAGAGGAAAGGCCAUAUAAACACACAGGGAGAAGGCCACCAUCUGCGAGCAGAGGAGUGGGGCCUCACCAGAAACCAACCCUGCUGGCACCUUGAUCCUGGAAUUCCAGCCUCAGAACUCAGAGAAAAUAAAUUUCUGUGAUUUAUUCCACCAA
rnacentral:lncRNA from 1 species